AGGAGGCUCAGCGGUGGGUUUCUAACAGUGGCAAGUAGUGCUUCUUCCCACAGCCCUGGGCUGGACCCCAGGCCCUUGCAUACUGGGCACAGCCAGGACUCCCCAACCCUGGGGCAUAUGCUUCCAGGAAGAGGGGGGAAAUGGAAUUUGUGGAGAGUGGCAGGCAGGUGGAGCAGACAACUCCUAGAUUUCUGACAGGAGGCCCAGCAUCUCAGGAUUGUACCCAAGUGGCUCUCGCACCAGUAUCAGGGCCAAUGGCAGGGUCAGCAGAAAAUAGCAGAGGGGCUUGAAAACAGAUGGGAACAUCUGGAAAAGUCAAUUUGGAGUGUAGCUUCUGAGUGAAAUAUUGUUACUGCAUUUCUGAGAGAGGAGAGCUGAGAUUUGAAUCCGCCUCAGACUGUGCUGGAAACAGAAUACAGAGCCCAUCACAGGAUGUCCUGAACUCUGUAGCCUCGUUUCUGAAAGUAUCAUUAAACAUGUGGGAACCAAAU
rnacentral:lncRNA from 1 species